AAAAGUAGAUACAAAUUGGUGACAAGUUUUAGUUUGGAGACGCAGCAAAUCACGGCCCUGUCAGCAGUCAAUGGUUUUUACUCCUACCUGGUGCUGUGUGCUGGGACUAACAAAUGUAUAGAGAUACAGGAUAUGAAUGUUGGUCAGACAGUGCGUACCAUGACUGAUGUCCACACAAAGCCAGCCCAUGUCAUCUGUCAGAAUGAGGGAUCCACCUUCACCUCCCAUCCUCCAGACGCGUAUAACCUCUUUGUGACGGCUGCUGCAGGGGAUUGUAUCAAACUGUGGGACAUCCGUACCAA